CCCUCCCUCUGUCGGCAUGCCUAACACAUGCAAGUCGAACGAGACCUUCGGGUCUAGUGGCUCACGGGUGCGUAACGCGUGGGAACCUGCCCUUAGGUUCGGAAUAACUCCCCGAAAGGGGUGCUAAUACCGGAUAAUGUCUUCGGACCAAAGAUUUAUCGCCUUUGGAUGGGCCCGCGUUGGAUUAGCUAGUUGGUAGGGUAAAAGCCUACCAAGGCGACGAUCCAUAGCUGGUCUGAGAGGAUGAUCAGCCACACUGGGACUGAGACACGGCCCAGACUCCUACGGGAGGCAGCAGUGGGGAAUAUUGGACAAUGGGCGAAAGCCUGAUCCAGCAAUGCCGCGUGAGUGAUGAAGGCCUUAGGGUUGUAAAGCUCUUUUACCCGGGAUGAUAAUGACAGUACCGGGAGAAUAAGCUCCGGCUAACUCCGUG
rnacentral:rRNA from 1 species